UUCCUCCUUUUGCGCUGGAUUGUUUGAUAAUGGAGGGGUGAAAUUGGCGGGGAGAGGAGGGAAAAUUAUAUGGCAGCAAAAUGGGAGGGAAUUUCGCUGCCUGUGGAGAUUGCAAGAGGCGGAGGGGACGAGUGGAAUGGGAAAUUGCACGUUUAACCGGUGGUCCUCGGUAAAAUUCCGGCCGGCCGCCUGACCGCAGCAAACUGCACAGGACGCCGGUGAGCAGGAUCAAAGUGUCCAGAAAUGGAGAGUUCCACAUUUGAAUGAUCGAGGAUCAUGGCCAUCAGGAUAUUGAGUUUGAUCACGCAAUUCGACGUAUUGGAGGUUGCUGCAGAGGAGACGAGCAACCACUUGAACAAUUGGGUAGCACAGGAACUAGAAAUUACCCAAAACCGAAGCUUGAGAUAAUAUACAAGGCAAUCAAGCAGUCAAAAAUGGAGAUUGACUGCAGUAAAU